UAUCAUUAAGAGUUUGUUUCAAGAUAAUAGGUAAUGCACAAUAGAACUGUGAAGGUCGAUGAUACAUGGAAUUAAAUAAUGUAUCCGUUUCUACAAUUGUUGAAUGGUUGCAUUCUGUGAAAAUCAAAGAAUGAGACGACUUGGCCUUGGAAUGUGUUUCAUGAUUUACAAUACGGAAUUGGCAUUGCGCUAGCUUUCUCCGGUCAGUGUUGAAAGAAAAAGAAAACAAUGAUGUGGUCGCGGUUAUUCAUCCCCGCGAUAUCUUUAAGAUCUCCUAGAAAAUAGAUUGUUCAAUAAAGUCUUAAUCAUGGCAAGAUGUUAGACGUUUUGAGAGUAUAAAUAGAGGAAAUAUUCGUGACAGUUUCAUUCGAUUCCUGAUAUCCAACAAGAGCUGAUUUUGAGUUUUCUUUUUCGAGCUUCAUCGACUAACUACACAUCUUCCAAUAUGGCCACUUCGACUCAACUCACAGCUUUCAUCACCUUGGCCGUAAUGGCAAUAACCGGCGUCUACGGACAACUGACACCUCAAUCGCAGAUUACUCAGAUGAUUGGACAAACAUGCACCGUCUACAGGGA